rnacentral:rRNA from 1 species
CAGAGGGGGCAAGCGUUGCUCGGAAUUACUGGCGUAAAGGGCGCGUAGGCGGGAUGGUAAGUCGGUCGUGAAAGCCUUCGGCUCAACCGAAGAACGUCGGCCGAAACUGCCAUUCUUGAGGGAUGCAGAGGAGACUGGAAUUCCCGGUGUAGCGGUGAAAUGUGUAGAGAUCGGGAGGAACACCGGUGGCGAAGGCGGGUCUCUGGGCAUCUCCUGACGCUGAGGCGCGAAAGCGUGGGGAGCAAACGGGAUUAGAUACCCCGGUAGUCCACGCUGUAAACGAUGACGACUAGGUGUGGGGUGGUUCAGUCCAUUCCGUGCCGCAGCUAACGCAUUAAGUCGUCCGCCUGGGGAGUACGGCCGCAAGGUUG